GCCUUAAAAGUUUGAUCCUGACAGCAGAUUGAACGCUGGCGGCAGGCUUAACACAUGCAAGUCGAGCGGAGAUGAGGUGCUUGCACCUUAUCUUAGCGGCGGAGGGGUGAGUAAUGCUUAGGAAUCUGCCUAUUAGUGGGGGACAACAUUCCGAAAGGAAUGCUAAUACCGCAUACGUCCUACGGGAGAAAGCAGGGGAUCUUCGGACCUUGCGCUAAUAGAUGAGCCUAAGUCGGAUUAGCUAGUUGGUGGGGUAAAGGCCUACCAAGGCGACGAUCUGUAGCGGGUCUGAGAGGAUGAUCCGCCACACUGGGACUGAGACACGGCCCAGACUCCUACGGGAGGCAGCAGUGGGGAAUAUUGGACAAUGGGGGGAACCCUGAUCCAGCCAUGCCGCGUGUGUGAAGAAGGCCUUAUGGUUGUAAAGCACUUUAAGCGAGGAGGAGGCUACUGAGACUAAUACUCUUGGAUAGUGGACGUUACUCGCAGAAUGAGCACCGGCUAACUCUGUGCCAGCAGCCGCGGUAAUACAGAGGGUGCGAGCGUUAAUCGGAUUUACUGGGCGUAAAGCGUGCGUAGGCGGCUUUUUAAGUCGGAUGUGAAAUCCCCGAGCUUAACUUGGGAAUUGCAUUCGAUACUGGGAAGCUAGAGUAUGGGAGAGGAUGGUAGAAUUCCAGGUGUAGCGGUGAAAUGCGUAGAGAUCUGGAGGAASACCGAUGGCGAAGGCAGCCAUCUGGCCAAAAACUGACGCUGAGGUACGAAAGCAUGGGGAGCAAACAGGAU
rnacentral:rRNA from 1 species